ACUUGAGGGUGUGAUGAGGACUCCUGAACACCACGUCUUCCUUUUUCCAGGGUGGACUUCUUUCUCCUCUUGUAUUUGCAUUUCAAUUUGUGAUUAUAAAACCCCUUUCAGCUGCUCCAGCUCAGAGGUAGAAGGCAGGAACACGCCCCGAAAACCCGGCAGCCAGGAGCGAGAUAAGGAUCGGAGGGAAAAUGGCACUGCCAAGACACACGGACUGCAGAGGAGGAGGAGGAAGGCAUCACAGGAGGAAGCAAGGACAAGAACGUGCCUGCAGGCAUGAAGCAUUGGUGGAUCCAACCCCCCAGACCUUCUCACGUGGAGCUUAGGGACAAAGCAGGCCCAGAACACCCACUGGCUACAAAAGAGGACAAUAACCCACAGCCUCCACAGUGUCGAUGUGACAGCUGCAUUUCUGUACACACUGAUAUCUUUUUGUCCUCCUUUGGUAAACACACCAUAAAGCUCUUCCUGUGCUCACCAAGAGCUAAUGUUCAGGUGGCAGAAAAAUAAAUGCUGA